rnacentral:rRNA from 1 species
GAUGAACGCUGCCGGCGUGCCUAACACAUGCAAGUCGAGCGGCAGCGAGGGGUGCUUGCACCCUGUCGGCGAGCGGCGGACGGCUGAGUAACGCGUGGGAACGUGCCCCAAAGUGAGGUAUAACUGCCCGAAAUGGUAGCUAAUACCGCAUAUUAUCUUCGGAUCAAAGGAUUUAUCCGCUUUGGGAGCGGCUCGCGUCGGAUUAGGUAGUUGGUGAGGUUAUUGCUCACCAAGCCGACGAUCCGUAGCUGGUCUGAGAGGAUGACCAGCCAGACUGGAACUGAGACACGGUCCAGACUCCUACGGGAGGCAGCAGUGAGGAAUCUUCCACAAUGGGCGAAAGCCUGAUGGAGCAACGCCGCGUGCAGGACGAAGGCCUUCGGGUUGUAAACUGCUUUUAUAAGUGAGGAAUAUGACGGUAACUUAUGAAUAAGAAUCGGCUAACUACGUG